AGGGGAACACUCGGCAGAGCCAGAGGCCUGGGCCCAAGUCCUGCCACCAGCUGGCUGUGAAACUGUGGUACAGCACCUUGUGUCCUGCCACCAGCCGGCUGUGAAACUGGUACAGCACCUUGUCCUCAGGUCCUUGGUUUCCUCACUUGUAAAUUCAUGGUUCUCCAUGGCAUCUCUGGUCUUCAACAUUAUUUUGCAUAGAGUCUCAGAAGCUUUAGUGUGAGCGGAUGAUAUGGGCACGAAGCAAGGCACCCAGAAGUGGGGGCAACUACUCUGCUUUCUAAAAUGCAAGGGAACCGGAAAAUCCAGGAGCCGUGCCAAAGUCUAUGUUCCCUUUAUGAGCUGUAACGCACACCAUGAAGGUCUGCGGCUUGGCUAUUGAGUCAGUGAGAGCGUGAACCUACUAUUAGAAGAAAAACUCUGAAUACGUCUGAACGUCAGAAAGAACGAAGUUUGGACACAUUGUCUUUAAGAACUGUAACACUCACCCCAAGGGUUUAUGGAUUCAUUCUUGAAAUCAGUGAAACCAAAAGCUUUCCAAAGUUUAACACACAGGGAAAUGACUUACUGCAAAGAACCACUCUUCCCCACGAGACUUCGAGAAGACCCGCUGUCACGGACUGAGUUGUGUCCUCUUAAAAUUCAGAUGUUGGAGUCCAAACCCCCAGUAACUCAGAGUGUGAACGUAUUUGAAGAGGUCUUUAAAGAGGUGAUGAAGGUCUUUGUCUCUGACAAUUUGCCUCUGUGACGUGGAUGGGACUGGAAGUCCAUUUGGAGCCCUGUCUUCUCCACCUAGGGAGAGAGACCCCAUGAGCUCGUCAAGCUCCUUCUGUGACUGAUCAGAGAUCCCACCGUGAGUCCAGCUCCUGGUCCCAUGCUCUGGAUAUAUCGGUCCCUGGCAGCGUGGUAUCUCACAGAAUCUCUGACCAAUGGAGAGCUAAUCAAAGACAAGUUUAAUAGGUGAAGAAAAUACUUGGAUUGGGAGGAUGGCUGAAAAGUCCCAUUGAACAAGGCCCUCAAAUGGAGUUCCUGUGGAGUGGUCACCUUUUUGAUGACUUCAACUGGGAACAUCAGUACGGAACCAUCGCUGGGUGUUCAUUCCAUCACCCCUUCCUAUGUCCCUGCUCAGGACACCCUGCGUCUGUCUAUAUGCAUUGCUACCAGUUUAGACAGUGAGUUACAUUUAGUCCAUUUGUGCAUUGUUCUUUAUUGUAUCCAUGGUAUCUAGCACAAUUCUUGUUCUUAUUAGAGCUUGGUAAAUGUCAUUGAUUAAUCCAGGGCAGAUUAUCUCUCUCAUUUUCGUGAAUCCUCUGCAUAAACAAUUUGAUUAAAAAUUUAUGACA
rnacentral:lncRNA from 1 species